rnacentral:rRNA from 1 species
GAUGAACGCUGGCUACAGGCUUAACACAUGCCAGUCGAGGGGAAACGACGGGGAAGCUUGCUUCCCCGGGCGUCGACCGGCGCACGGGUGAGUAACGCGUAUCCAACCUGCCUCUGACUGAGGGAUAACCCGUCGAAAGUCGGCCUAAUACCUCAUGGUAUCGUCUGCGGGCAUCCAACGACGAUUAAAGAUUUCAUCGGUCAGGGAUGGGGAUGCGUCUGAUUAGCUUGUUGGCGGGGUAACGGCCCACCAAGGCUACGAUCAGUAGGGGUUCUGAGAGGAAGGUCCCCCACAUUGGAACUGAGACACGGUCCAAACUCCUACGGGAGGCAGCAGUGAGGAAUAUUGGUCAAUGGGCGAGAGCCUGAACCAGCCAAGUAGCGUGCAGGAAGACGGCCCUAUGGGUUGUAAACUGCUUUUAUGCGGGGAUAAAGUGAGGGACGUGUCCCUCAUUGCAGGUACCGCAGGAAUAAGGACCGGCUAAUUCCGU